UCUGCCCUGUUUUUACAAAAACAUGGCGUCGAUUUGGAGGUAUAAAAAGUCUGGCACUGCCCACUGUAUUAGGAAUUAAAAAAUUUAAGAGGCCGCGGUAUUAUGACCGUGCAAAGGUAGUCAUAAUCAUUAGGUUUUUAAAUGGGAUCUUGUAUGAAUGGUUUGACAAAGGAAAAGUUGUCUUUAAGUUAGAAUUUGAAUUUAACUUUUAAGUGAGAAGGCUUAAAUAUUUUAGGGGGACGAUAAGACCCUAUAAAGCUUUAUAUUAUAAUUGUAUUUAAUUAAAUUUUGUAUAAAAGUUUUAUAUAAUUAUUUAUUUUGUUGGGGAGACAUAAGUAAAAAUUGUAUUAACUGCUUAAAAAGUAAACAUAUAUUGGUGGAGAAAUUAUAGAUCCUAUUUUUAGAUUUUAAGAUUAAGUUACUUUAGGGAUAACAGUGUAAUUUUUUUUGAGAGUUCUUAUCGAAAAAAGAGUUUGCAACCUCGAUGUUGAAUUAAAUUACCUAUAUAAUGCAGUUGUUAUACAAGGUGGUCUGUUACGACCUUUAAUGGGUUUAGAUGAUUUGCCUGCACGCACCGGCGUGAGCCAGGUUGGUUUCUAUUCUAAAAA
rnacentral:rRNA from 1 species